GAUGAAGAACGCAGCGAAACGCGAUAGUUAAUGUGAAUUGCAGAAUUCAGUGAAUCAUCGAGUCUUUGAACGCACAUUGCGCCCCUCGGUAUUCCGGAGGGCAUGUCUGUUUGAGCGUCAUUUCAACACCCUCGCUUUAAGCGGUAUUGAGGCGUGGAAUCCAUAUCAAUGGAACCAAGCUUUUAAAGUUGAAGGCAAGCAGAACGAAUGUCUUGAACAAAACAUAGUAAAAUCUUCACGGUUUCUCCUGUUUGUCCUCGAUGUUACGUCUCGCCCAAACAAUUUUUUUUUUUAGUUUUGACCUCAGAUCAGACAAGGAUACCCGCUGAACUUAAGCAUAUCAAUAAGCGGAGGA
rnacentral:misc_RNA from 1 species